AAAAAAUUGGAAAUCUCACGAAGCAUUGUGCGAGGGAUGAUCUUACCAAGUUUGGUUCCAUGCCCCGAUGUACCCGUAGCCACUUUCUCUGUCUAGCUUCUCGAAUGCUUCCAAGCCUUCCAUCGUCGAUUUCUCUCUCUGGCGUCUUCUUCUUUCUCUUCUACCCUCAAACAAUAUAAAAACCACAAAACAACCCAAUUUCAAUACAAAUAUAGAAUGUAAAUUGAUGUACUGUAAUGUUAAUUAAUACUCCAUUGUUAAGAAAAAUAGAAAUCUCACGAAGGAUUGAAGGAUUGUGCUAAGGACGAUCUUACAAAGUUUGUUCUUCUUCUUGAAGACGACGAUCUUACCUGUAGUCCCCCUCUCUCUCUAUAGCUCUCGAAUGCUUCCGUCUUCCAUAGUUGAUUUCUC
rnacentral:lncRNA from 1 species